rnacentral:tRNA from 1 species
GGCCCUAUGGUCAAGCGGUUAAGACACUGCCCUUUCACGGCAGUAACCCGGGUUCGAUUCCCGGUAGGGUCACCA